UACGGGGGGGGCAAGCGUUGUUCGGAAUUACUGGGCGUAAAGGGCUCGUAGGCGGCUCGGAAAGUCGGUCGUGAAAUGCCGGGGCUCAACCCCGGGACUGCGUCCGAUACUUCCGAGCUGGAGGCAGGUAGGGGAGAUCGGAAUUCCUGGUGUAGCGGUGAAAUGCGCAGAUAUCAGGAGGAACACCGGUGGCGAAGGCGGAUCUCUGGGCCUUGCCUGACGCUGAGGCGCGAAAGCUAGGGGAGCGAACAGG
rnacentral:rRNA from 1 species